UGGGGAAUUUUGGACAAUGGGCGAAAGCCUGAUCCAGCCAUGCCGCGUGAGUGAAGAAGGCCUUCGGGUUGUAAAGCUCUUUCGGUCGAGAAGAAAUGUCUAUGACUAAUACUUAUAGAAAAUGACGGUAUCGACAUAAGAAGCACCGGCUAACUACGUGCCAGCAGCCGCGGUAAUACGUAGGGUGCGAGCGUUAAUCGGAAUUAUUGGGCGUAAAGGGUGCGCAGGCUGUGCUGUAAGUCAGAUGUGAAAUCCCCGGGCUUAACCUGGGAAUUGCGUUUGAAACUGCAGUGCUAGAGUGUGAUAGAGGAGAGUGGAAUUCCAUGUGUAGCAGUGAAAUGCGUAGAGAUGUGGAAGAACACCAAUGGCGAAGGCAGCUCUCUGGAUUAACACUGACGCU
rnacentral:rRNA from 1 species